CGUGGCAGAAGCCCAAAGGUUGGAUCAAAGGUUCGGGGCCUCUGGUCCCGCCCCCUUCCUUCUGUAGGGCUGCACGCUCUGCAUCCAUCUCCUGUAGAAACAGCUGGCCAGCUGAGGUGGGCCGUGGUCAUUACAUCAUCACCUUUCCACACGGUGCUUCUUGAUGGACAAUGAGAGGUCAUCAUGUGUGCCAGUGACUUUUUUAAAUGUUCUCCUUCGUUAGUCCAACCAAGCAUUUUUCCUUUCGACACAUUGCAGGCGCUCCAUCGGUAGUUACUCAUUUAUUCAUCAAAUGUUUUAGUCAUUAAAGAAAACCUGGGAAAACAUUUAAACAACCUCAUCUUGUGAAGAAACAGCCUGGAAGACGUUCAAAUCGGGGAGUAAAAAGUAUAAAUGACCCUGGAUUUCACGUGUUAUUUGCCGUUGCCAUGGUGACGUGUUCCUGUACGAGUCCCCGCAGACUCUCACCAGGAGGCCUCGUGUCCCUGAGGGAUCAGGGUCCACGGUGUGAGGCCUCAGGGGGGCGUUGGGAAUCAUGAACUCAACUCAGGGACAUUGAGUCUGUCCACUGAUGUUUGUCGUCCCCGCCCUUCCACUUUGGGCUCUUUAUUGAUGCCAAAGCAAACGCUCUCAUGAAGGUAACCUGCCUGCAGCCUCUGAGCGUCCUCGUGAAGCAUCCCAAGUAAAACGUUAGUGUUGAUUCUUCUCACACACCUCCAACCGUCUCGCUCUCAGAGACGUGGAAACUGUCCCUCACUGUUUGCUCUGAUGAUUAAUCAUGUAAAUGAUCCUUUUGGAGACACGUCCACAGGCUGUGAGCUUAGAGAAUAAGAGGGAGGAGAAGAUCCACCUGGCCAUCAGACUACAGGAGGAACCGUGGUGAGUAGCAGCUUCUCUCUGUUUCAGGACGAUUCAUCAAAUGCUGUCACGGGGACGUUUGAGGGACUUCUGUCCUCGUUUUAAUGGAGUUUGUGCUCAACAAAACUAUGAAAACAGACGUUGAUGUUGUUAUUUUAGGGCUUUGGAGCUUAACGGGUUUGUUAAAGUGUUGAAACAACAUGGUGGUUCUUUACUCCCCACAGAACCACCAUGUUGCUUCAACAUCCCCAGAGUUUGGUCACGUUCAUAUUUACUUCUAUUUAUAGUGUACAUAGUUGGUAAAUGUUGGUACUCUUCUUGUUGUCAUUGUGUUAUUUUUUAUAUUUGCCUUGUUUGUAGUUUAUUAUUUGUAGAAGUUUCAUUAAUCCGGAAUCAUGCGUCCAGCUGUGCUAACCGCUGUCCUGCUCUCGGUGCUCUUCAUCAACGCCGUGACGUCACUGAACCUCGGCAAUCUGCCGCUGCGUGAAGAGCGAGCUCUCUUCGAUGCGCCACCAGAUGUUGCGGUUCCGGUGGCUCCCGCUCCACUGAACAUGCGGGCUUCCCGAGCCGCCGACCCGAACCAGAGAAACAUUCACAAAGUGGGAGAUGAUUCUCAAUUACUCUGCAAAAGAACAGUUUGCAAUGGGUAAUGAUAAUUAGACGGGGGGGGGGGGGGCUUUGUUUGAUCAUCAUCUGCUGAUGUGUUCCUUCUCUCUGUAAAGCUGCUCCGUGUUUCUAUAACCCGCCAACACGAGCUCCAAUAAACGCUUCAGCAUUCAAGCUCCUGGUGUCACUUUGUUGGGCAAUGAGGGGUCGAUGUUCACGCUGUAGAUUAAAGCACUAGAUGAUCCGUAGAUUUCGAGCCCGACACACGCGGCUCAGCGGGGGUCCCACCGGGUCGAGUUCAGCACCACGGACAGCGACUACGGGACCUCAUUCAUUCCUCCUGUAGGACCUGAAUAGAC
ensembl:lncRNA